CCUACGGGAGGCAACAGUGGGGAAUAUUGCACAAUGGGGGAAACCCUGAUGCAGAGACGCCGCGUGAGUGAAGAAGUAUUUCGGUAUGUAAAGCUCUAUCAGCAGGGAAGAAAAUGACGGUACCUGAUGAAGAAGCCCCGGCUAACUACGUGCAAGCAGCCGCGGUAAUACGUAGGGGGCAAGCGUUAUCCGGAUUUACUGGGUGUAAAGGGAGCGUAGACGGCAGCACAAGUCUGGAGUGAAAUGCCGGGGCUUAACCCCGGAACUGCUUUUGAAACUGUGCAGUUAGAGUGCAGGAGAGGUAAGUGGAAUUCCUAGUGUAGCGGUGAAAUGCGUAGAUAUUAGGAGGAACACCAGUGGCGAAGGCGGCUUACUGGACUGUAACUGACGUUGAGGCUCGAAAGCGUGGGGAGCAAACAGGAUUAGAUACCCCAGUAGUC
rnacentral:rRNA from 1 species